rnacentral:lncRNA from 1 species
UCUCCCAAUUCUCCUCCUACUGUGGGAGCGCUUUAUUUAUAUUUCAGCUCUUGCUUUGGUUUGUCGAGGGAGGGGUGAGUAAAGCAAAGGGUUAAAGAAGUUUCUGUUGAUUAAUUUCUUUUAUUUAAAUCAAUGUAGUCUACUUUCAUUUUUUUUAUCCAUCUUUAUCUUUUUAUUUAUCUCACUUUCAUUGUUUUAACAAUUAGCUGGGAGCAAAGUGUAACUAUGUUAAUAUUUUAACUAUGAAGGUGAAAACUAUGCUUGCAUUUCACGCCAGGGAAAAAACGUGUUCUGUGACAUAACUUGACGUUUAUAACAAAACCAACAGUGUUUACAUUUCCAUUACUUACUCUUUGUGGAGCCCUGAACAAGACUAAUUUGUAGAGCUCCCCACUUCUCAAGAACCCUCAAAUGUCAAUACAGUGCAAGCACAAACAAAAGCACACAAACAUAGUUUGCACAAAUGUAUCCACACAAGUCAUACGCAUGCACAAAUAUAUUCCCAAACACAUUGUUAGCACACAGAUACAGUAGCAUGCACACACACCUAGAGGCUUGCAUUCAUAAACAAACAAAACUCACAUGCAUAUACACACGCACAUAGGUAGAUGCAUAUACAGUCACUACACACAAACUCUCUCUCUCUCCUUAACCUCUUAAAGGGACUCUCCAGUGCCAGGAAAACAAUCCGUUUUUCUGGCACUGCAGGUCCCCUCUCCCUACCACCUCCCAAUCCCCGGUUGCUGAAGGGGUGAAAAUCCCUUCAGUGACUUACCAGAGGCAGCGACAUGUCCCACGUCGCAGCUUUUUCCUCCGCCGCCGCUCCUCCUCUUCAUUACGUUGGCCGUCGGGCGAGACUGAUCCCGCCCACCGGCCGGGUAGACCUAAUGCGCAUUAGUGCUCUGCUUUCCUAUGGGGAAUUGAGCGAAGCUGGAGGUCCUCACACAGUGUUAGGACAUCCAGCGACGCUCUAGCACAGGUUUUCUGUGCUAUAAUCCAGGAAGUGCCCUCUAGUGGCUCUCUAGUAGACAGCCACUAGAGGUGGAGUUAAAGGACCACUCUAGGCACCCAGACCACUUCAGCUUAAUGAAGUGGUCUGGGUGCCAGGUCCAGCUAGGGUUAACCCAUUUUUUAUAAACAUAGCAGUUUAUGAAUGGGUUAAGCCUUCCCCCAAAGCCUCUAGCAGCUGUCUCAUUGACAGUCGCUAGAGGCGCUUGCGUGCUUCUCACUGUGAAAAUCACAGUGAGAGCACGCAAGCGUCCAUAGGAAAGCAUUGAUAAUGCUUUCCUAUGCGACCGGCUGAAUGCGCACGCAUUCAGCUGACGGGGAGGAAAGGAGGAAGUUUGGAGGCAGAGAGCUCCCCGCCCAGCGCUGGAAAAAGGUAAGUUUUACCCCUUUCCUUUCCAGAGCCGGACGGGAGGGGGUCCCUGAGGGUGGGGACACCCUCAGGGCACUAUAGUGCUAGGAAAACGAGUAUGUUUUCCUGGCACUAUAGUGGUCCUUUAACCCUGCAAGGUAAUUAUUGCAGUUUAUAAAAAACUGCAAUAAUUACACUUGCAGGGUUAAGGGUAGUGGGAGUUGGCAACCUGACCACUCCAAUGGGCAGAAGUGGUUUGGGUGCCUGGAGUGUCCCUUUAAGGUCAAAGACAGUUGUCCAUCCGCUGAGACAAAACAAAAUCUAAAAUUUGUGCCAUGUGAUUUCUCUUUAAAGGGACACUAUAGACUCCCAGACCACUUCAACUCAUUGAAGUGGCCUGGGUACAGUGUCCAUGUCCCCCUUAAUCCUGCAAUUGGAAUUAUUGCAGUUUUUUAUAAACUGCAAUAAUUAUAUUGCAGUGUUAACCUUACCUCUAGUGGCUGUCUACUAGACUGCCACUAGAGCGACUUACAGGUUGUUAGGCGACUUUUGGUCCCCUAACUUACGCUGGACGUCCUUAUACAAUGCUUUCCUAUGGGUGAAGUCCUAAUGUGAGUGCAGCACUCGCCACACAUGCGCAUUAUGUUUGGUGGCUGAAGUCGGCAGAGGAGAGGUGUAGGAAUCAGGUAAGUGACAGAAGGAGUUUUUAACCCCUUAUGCAUCACUGUGAGGGUUGGGGGGGUCAUUAUGAGGAGUUAUACUAUUUUCCUGGCACCAUAGUUACCCCUUAAAAGCACCCUUACAUAUUAUAUAUUGUUUUCUUAACAUUAACCUUGACAUAGCAUUAACCAUUACCCUACACCAGGGGUGCCCAAAAGGUAGACCGGGGCUGGGCAGCUGAGCUCAUUGGCUGAAAACAUCAACUGAUCACUCUCAGCCAAUGAGCUAAGCCCUGCACUGCCAAGCCUGGGAGACUCUGGGUAAGAAGUAAAAUUGUGAACAAAUGGUUUGACAGGGUGGUGGAAGACAGGGAGAGGCGCUCUGUGUUGCCCUUGAUGGAUAAUUUUUGGGGAGAAAGAGCUGGGCAUCAAGCAGCAGAGCCUUCCAAUUUGCCCUCAUUGAUUUGUUGUAUGGGCAACACGUGCUGGGAUAUAAAAUAGAAUUUAAGCACCCAAUGCAUAUCAGAAUGUUACUACGCAAUGGGAAGAGUUAUUGUCAAUAACUGCUGCCAUACAGCCCAUACUUCAGAGAUGUUAAUGUGAAAGCCUUGUCAGUAGGAUAGUCCACAAUUCUGCAGCCUGUUGUACUCAUCCUAGCGAGUGGAGUUUUAAGGUCAAUCCGUAGUGACAAGGAACAUCUAUAGUUCUAGCAGGACUUUUUGUAUCUGAUGGCGCAUACUCUGUGCUUUCUGGUUUUGCAUGCGCAAGUUCUCUUUACACUGGAAAUAAAUAUGGAGGGUUAUAGAAGUGUUUCUAACAUAUAAGAGUGGGAAGGUUAUAAAAGUUAGGUACUCACUGCAAAAAAGGGAGUACAAACAAAUACCCGUUGUUUCCAUGGUGAUUGCUUCUUUUCUUGAACUUAAUUGAAACAUUUUUAUAACUCGCCCUAUGAAUGCUGCACAUUAUCCCUAAAAACACAUUCACAAUGCAUAAUUAGAGAUGUCGCGAACCAUUCGCGAACUUCCCGCGAACGGUUCGCCGCGAACGGUUCGUGGCGAGCUCCGGUCAGCUGACACAUCCCGGCCAAUCUCUAGCAGACCCUCCCUCCCAGACCCUCCCACCUCAUGGACAGCAUCCAUGUUGAAGCUUCAACAUGGAUGCUGUCCAGGAGGUGGGAGGGUCUGGGAGGGUCUGCUGGAGAUUGGCCGGGAUGUGUCAGCUGACCGGAGCUCGCCGCGAACGGUUCACAGGGAACCGCGGAGAGCCAUUCGCGGGAAGUUCGCUGUGACGAAGUGCCCUUCGCCACUUGGUCCUGGAGAGGCCUACUUGCCAGCCUCCUCCCCUGUGACUAUGACUCUUUCAUGUAUCUGGCUUUAAAGCACCUAGUCUACCUUCAGACAGACUAUUUAUGUAGGCUGCUUUAUUUAUCUUAUGUUUUAGUCACCCUGUACCCAUUAUAGGUGCAGGGUGUGUGUAAUGUAAUUGUUUAUAGUGUGUGUGUGUGCUGUGUAAUGUAUUGCCUGCUCUCUUGUAUUGCUGAGGUUUGCUACCAACUAGGUGGGUUUGGCUAUGGAGCUUGUCUAGUGCCCUCUGUUGGUAGCAACAGCAAUAUGCACUACCUGAAUUGCAAGACUGGUUCAUUUGCAUAUUCGGGUAGAUUUGCAUAUUGCUAAUUCUGCAGGCAGGUGAGAUAUUUACUGUUAAAUAUUGUCUCCCCCCACCCCUUUAAAAAUGUGCCAUUGUGUUGUGAUAAGUCACUGUGUGUUGCUUGAUGUGGUUUGACUGUUUGUGAUUUUAUUGAGGUUUCACAACAAUGUUAUUGUGGUGACCCUAUUGGCUGGUCCCAAGGGAAAUAAAGGUUUAGACAGUUCUUCUUGAUCCUUCUAAACGUAGCCUUGUCUCGUUAUUGGAGGGAGCUGUUAUAAUCACACUGGGGAUUGCUAUGCUCUGCAUGCUCCCCUGAGCUUGAGUCACUUAGCUCUUUUAAGAGCUUGUUCCUGACACGCUCUCCUUGGAGGAGGGGUCUUCACCACACAGUCCUGGAGGACAGAAGCUGAUCCAGGGUGGAAGGAAGACGGCGAGACUCCAGUCAAGAUACGGAGGUUGCGGAGUCUGCGGUGGUUGUGGUGUCUGCUGCAGUGCUUGGGAGUCCUCAGGAAUUACAAUAAAUACAACUACUAUUGUAUAUAUCCUAUAAUUCAAUAGCUAUAGUUAACUGUGCAUGUUCAUGUCUUCUGUAUGUUGGUGUCUAUAAAUACAGCUAGUCCAGUUUUCCCCUGCAGUAAAAUCCUUGAAAGGUAAUGAUAUAAUUUUCUACGUUCGGUCUCAAUCUUUGCUUCAAAAUUCAGUUUUCUGGUGAAUCCUGAGUCAGCACAUUUCUACACUAAGUGUACUGUAAUGUGAGCUGAGGGCUCUCAGCCAAUGCAUAUUGUCCUAGAUUGGUAUGAGCUAGUAUCAUAAUCUGGAAGUAUGAGUGGACAGAGUAAGGUGUAACUUUUUUAAUUUUAAUAAAAAAAUGUUAUGGUAAUUUUCUCUGGGUGCACUCCCAUGUAAUGUUCCGCACAUGCAUUAUGACUAUACAUUGAUCAGCCACAACAUUAAAAUCACUGACAGGUGAAGUGAACAUUGGUUAUAUCAUUACAGUGGCCCCUGUCAAGGAGUGGGGUAUAUUAUGUAAAAAGUGAAUAGUCUGUUCUUGAAUUUCUUGUCUUGGAACCAGGAAAAAUAGGCAAGCAUAAAGAUCUGAGUAACUUUGAUGAGGGCCAAAUAGGGACAGCAAGAUAACUGGGUGAGAGCAUCUCCAAAGUGGCAAGUCUUAUGGGUGUUUCUGAUAUGUAGUAGUUGGUACCUACCAAAAGUGGCACAUGGAAGGACAACCAGUGAAAUGGCGUCAGGGUCAUGGGUGCCCAAGGCUCAUUGAUGCACAUGGGGAUGGAAGGCUAGCCCAUCUGAUCACACUGAAGAGCUACUAUAGCUCCAAUUGCUGAAAAAAAAAAUGAAUGCUGGCCAUGAUAGAAAGGUGUCAGCUUGCUGCAUAUCCGCAGAUUGAUCAUAGGCACUAUGAUGAUCCCUGUCCAUCACCAAAAAGUGCCUUCAAAGGGGAGCGACAGAUGGCAGGAUGAGUGUGCAUCAUUUACCUGUGGAAGAAAUAGCAGGAUGCACUAUAGGAAGAAGGCAGGCUGGCCGAGGCAGUGUUUUGUUCUGCUGGGAAACCUUGGAACCUGGUAUUCAUGUAGAUGUUACUUGACACGUAUCACCUACCUAGAGAUUGUUGCAGACUAUGUAUACCCCUUCAUGGCAAUGGUGUUACCUAAUGGCAGUGGCCUGUUUCCGGGUGUGCCGGGGCCGCACGUUAAGGGAAAAUGAAUAUCUAGGGGGCCCGGCCAGCACUGUGGUGCUUUAACGGCGCGACCGGGCUCCCUGUGAUGAUAUCAGAGCACAGGGAGGAAGUGACUGCCCCUGUCACUUCCUCCCAGCAACCACCAGGAGCUGCACGGGACGAAAAGAGGAGGAGGUCAGAGUGGGAACUCUGACUCCCAUCAGGCUGAGCCACCACUGGACUCCAGUCAAGUCACCUGCAUGUCUGUAUGUAUGUGUGUAUGUGUGUGUCUCUAUGUGUAUGUGUGUCUGUAUAUAUGUAUCUCUGUGACAGUUCAUCUUGAUGGCCACAGUAAUAUCGGCCAUAGUUGUCAUCUCUAGGCAUUGUUCUAACCUUGCGGUCCUCAUGCCAAGGGAAUGGAUCUCGGCCUGCAGGACCGUCGUAGAUGUCACAAUUUCUCCUGCAAGGUAAGUGCGGACUUUGGCCAGUUUGGCUAAAAUUUGAUUUGUGUCCCCAGAGGACUUAUUUGUUGCGGAGUCAGCAUGCAGUGAAGAUGGGGGAAGAAGCUGGGUCUGGCUCCCCACUGGUAUAGCUUUUGGGGCCGCAAAUAGGUCCAUCGCCGUAGCCCCCAUUCUGUGCACCUUUUGGGUGCUUUUUCGGAUUUAGUUUCUCCAUGGUGCAGUAAACAGCUCGGUUUUGGUAGCUUUUGUAGACUUUAUGCAGUGUGUUCAGAGCGGAGCUUCACUCAGACACGUCCAGCUUGCUCCUUGGUCAGGCCAUGCCCCUUCCCAGCCCUUUUUUCUUCCCAAUCUCCUUUUAUUUCUUACACCCAGCCACUUGUGUGUGUGUGUGUGUGUGUGUGUGUCUCUCUUUCCUUCUCCAGCCCAUGUGUCUCUUCCCAGCCCCUCUUUGUUUCCCAUGUUCCCAUCCCCCAGCCCCUCUGUGAUGGCCACUCCAGAACCUUCACCUUUUUCUGCUGUAACCACUGGAGGGUCAACUUAGCCUUGUGCUUGGGGUCAUUGUCAUGCUGGAAAGUCCAAGAGCGUCCUAUGCGUGGGCCUUCAUACAGAAGAAUGCAAAUUGUUUGCCAGUAUUUUCUGAUAACAUGCUUCAUUUGUCUUGCCAACUUUCACAAGAUUCCCCGUGACUUUAGAGCUCACCCCCCCCCAAAACAUCAGUGAGCCACGACUAUACUUCAAAGUGGGGAUGCUAUUCUUUUCACUAUAAGCCUUCACUUCUCAGCACAACUCUAUAUAAAUACACUGAUACUUUUAAACACACUGAUAUAUUGCUCAACAAUACCAAUUAGUUCACAUAGUGACACAUCAUACAAUUACACCCCCAGCAUUUAAACACAAAAAUUUAGUUCAUGAGGGUUGGUUGAAUUUUUAAAAAUUCUACAUGUCCAAGGGACUAAAUAGGUAUCUCCAUCUACUUAUCCUUCAUGACAAUCUCUUUAUCCUGACACACAAGUAAUUUUAGAUUGGGUCGCAUGUCUAGAGUUUUGGACAUUGACAGGGUUAUUGACUAAACUGAGCAUUUUUGCUAAUUAAGCCCAGAUGGAAAAAUUGAGACUAAAAAGCUGAGAUGGAAACUUUACCAUUCCAAUUUCCCUAUAAAUUUAUUUGUGAAGAUUCAGACUUUAGUGAAUAACCCUAAGUGUCACACCCAGUAACCCCCCCCCCCCAACCAUAGUCUCUCCAUUUGUCCCCACUAUAGUAGUGUGCUUUGUGGAGGCUGUGUGUAAAAUGUGUGGUAUGUGCCAGCUGUUUGUAAUGUGUGUGUGUGGUAUGUGCCAGCUCUGAUAUUUACAGGCUGGGUAUAUAUAUAAUACACACUCGUCCUUACCUAUAAAUAAAAUAAUUUAAUUUUAAAAAGUCAGUAUAACCUCCACAUUAGUAUAAGGGAGGUUUCAAACCUCCUUUAUGCUCCCACCCACCAUACUGCGGAUGGGAACAUGUCUACUAAACAACGAGUAGCCGACAGUGGCUGCUUACUGUAAACCCUCAUAACCAAAACUAGAACCUAGUUAUUGCUGCCCAGUCACUGAUAAUAGUCAUAUCUCAUGGGGAUUAGCCAUGUAGAAUGCCCCACCCAUGAUUGUGUGUUCUCAAAAAAUAACUGUGGCAGAUUCUAAACUUGUUACCCACAGCCAUUACCGUAAAAGUGGCAAAUGAAAGCUAUAAUUUAUAAACGUGACAGGUGGGUGCAAUGUUAAAAGCAAUAAGGAGGGGUGGACAUGCUAUUGUCCACCCCUUUACGUCUCCACCCAUAGUGAGGGGACUUUAGUGUCCUCCUUAUUUGUUUUCUUCAAUCAGCUCCAACCUUUCUGUCCAUGGGUGGGGCAAGGAGGUGGUCUGUGACCUGCCCAUCCCCAUUAUUUUAUGCCCUCCAUGGAAUGCCAAGAGUUGGGAUCAUGGGGUGAGGAUACCUGAGUCAGGUUGCAAUCCCCAGUAUAUUAGCCCCUGUAUACUCACUGUUUAAUCAUCACAUGAAAUGGCAGGUAGGGACAUCAAGUAGGUAUUAAAGCUCCUUUGUAAUAAUGAGUAAUUAUGGAGUCACCUCACAGGCUCUUUUUUAUAAUUCUUUUUACAUUUUCAUGUGGUAGCUGGCUUGCAAGUGCUGUUCACUCAUUGCAUGAUUAACUCUUGUGCUGGCAAAGUGUUGUUUUUUUUUGUUUUUUACUAUUUGCUCACUGGCUGCUAUUACUGCCAGCUUCCAAAAAGUAAACAAAUGACGAAACUAAUUUAAUAUGUCCAUUGAUUGUUUUAUUUGUUUCCUGGUUUGUCAAUUGGACAGUUUGGAACUUUGGUCUAAUAGAUGAUCACCCAAAAUGUAUACAUACAUUGUAAUUCUUCCAAAACCAAAAGCACACGUCUAGUUUUAGGGGCCUUGGACUGGAGCAUUGUCUAAGGACAGCGGAGCCUCACUAAAUCUAGAACCACAUCUGGUUAAACUCACAGUUUGCACGUCUCUCACACUGGGUGGAUACUGUGACUUCUGUUGCCUUUCUAUUGCAUUGCAAAGAAAGAUUUGACAUCUCCCUUCCUGCUCAGAAUAAUUUAAUGCUACCAUAACCUAAUAAAUUUGCUGAAUUGAACAUCUUCCCAAUCUGGAGUCAAUCUUAUUUUUCUCCCUGUGUUUGGUUGUUCCUUGCUCAGUGGUGGGACACAUAUGAUCAAAGUGCCUUAAAUGUGCAACGAAAUACUUAUCUGUUUCUGUUACUCGUGUCUACAUCAGACUUUAACACAGUCUACUUUUAUUUUUAUUUUUGCUUUCCAUCCCAUGUGAAUUGGGCAAACCUUAGACAAAUCUAAUUGAGUUCAGCAGGCCUACUUGUCAAGUAUAUUAAUCAUGUGAUGACAGAUGCCAAUAUACCCACCUACUAUCCCAACACAAUUAUUUUUAACCCCUUUUAGUAGUGCUUGUUUACAAUUCUUAUCAAUUGACAUGUAACUUAUAGAGAAAUUACAUGCUUUGUGUCAUUAGGGUUGAUUCCACUAUUUUAAUAGUCUGGCUUUAAGUUUCUGUUUAUCUGAGUUUCAUGUUUGUAUUUGCAUUAAUCAUCCUUAUUUCUCCCUUGCAGCCCAAUGGUCAUUAGAAGAUUUGUCAACUAUGCGCAAGUGCACUAACUACUUAUGCUCCAAACACUUAACAAUCAGCUCUAUCCUACCCUUGCUCGCCCUCCACUCCCUUGCAAUUACCUAGCUUGUUUACUUUAGAACCAGUAUACUAUAUGAUCUGCAGUUUUAAAUUGUUACAAACUGAGCAAAGUUUGUAUUGACCCUCUCAAGCCACUGUUCACCUGCUUUGUUGGGAAUGGGAUACAGGGAUGUGUGGAGAAAUUAUAUCCUUGGUGUCUAGAUCGAGAUCUCAGAACGCCUUAAGAUCUCAGUAACUGUAUUGGAGAGAACUCAAUUUUUUUUAUAAAAUUGGUACAUGGGCCAUAGUUAAGGUCUCUACUGACUACUUAUAAAAUGUUAAGCAGCAAAUGACGUUUGAUAACAUAUUCAGUGUGUAGACAUUAACAGGACUGCCAUCAGAAAUUUUUGGGCCUCCUUACACACGUUGAGAUGUGGGGGUUUGCUGUGUGUGUUUGUAGAGGAUGUAAUGUUACAAAGUUACGUACCUAUAUCGCUGAAAAGAGACUGACGUCCAUCAAGUUCAACCUUUCUCACUUAUGUUUUUGCUGUUGAUCCAAAAGAAGGCAAAAACCCAGUCUGAAGCACUUCCAAUUUUGCAACAAACUAGGAAAAAAAUUAUAGCUAUUAUCACUAAUUAGAAAUUAUUUCCCUGUAUAUUAUGUUUUUGCAAGUAUUUUAGAAAUGCUAUUUAGACAUCUGUAUGGACUCUGAUAAAACCACCGCUUCAGGCAGAGAAUUCCACAUCCUUAUUGUUCUUACUGUUAAAAAAAAUUUUUUUUUGCCUUAGACUAAAUCUCCUUUCUUCCAGCCUAAAUGCAUGACCUCGUGUCCUAUGUCCUAUGGAUAGCCCUGUUUAUGAAUAGAUUUCCAGACAAUGGUUUGUACUGGCCAUGAAUAUGGCUCUGUAUAAUGUUAUCAUAUCCUCUCUGAGGCACCGUUUUUCCAAACUAAAGAGAUUUAAUUAAAAAAAAAAAAAAUUAUUUCUUUGAGCAGUGACACAUGAUAGAAAGUCAUACAAUUUCAUGGCUUGCGCAGAAGCCAAAUAAGAAUAUGCUCAGAUACAAUUACUAAGCGUGCCAAGUAUGUUAAUCAUCUGUUACGAAUUUUCAUAUUUAUAUAAAAAACAGAAAAACGUAGGUACAAUUGAGUAAAGCACUGGUAGUAUCUUUACUCGGUAUCUACACGGGCCAGUGUGUGUAGUAUCGGGUCCAGAGCUGAGACGUCAAGUGCGAUCCGGCAGCGCAAGCUGCAAUUGUCUGCCGUUGUCCCAGGCCUCCCAGCCCAUCACCGUGUCUGUGGAGUAUCAUGUGCUGAUACUAGCAAAUGUUGAUAACUGUAUUACCAGUCAAGUGUACUAUGAGGACACCGAGCCGGUUAUGAUUGAAACAAGAUCAAUGGCUCGUAAACCACACCCAUACCCACACCAGUGCACGAGUGCCCCUUGUGGGGCCAACUUUCAGUAGUGUUCUGUGACCAACCCCACCCCAUCCUCCAGUGACCCUCCCCCCAUCACCAUCCGAUGUCAAGUUAGUGUCACUCCUCAAACUGCUCCCAUAGAUCCCACACUUUUUGGUGACCAUUGUAUUUCGUACCUGUCCUGUCAACUUAUCCAUCAAAUAAUUAUCUUUGGUUUUGGCAAUGAUCAGCUCUAAUUGGGGCGUUUCUGGUUUUAUCCAGUUUUGAGUUAAAGCUCUGUGGGCUGCUAGAUAUAUCAUGUUCAGUAACCUUUGUCCAAACGUAUCCAGUCCUUCUGUAGGUCUGGACAAAAGGCUUACCAAUGGAUCUAAAGUUAGCCUCUGUUGUAGGAUGCGUGAGCUCAGGUCCACCACCUCCUUCCAGUAGUCUCUGACUUUGGGACAUGUGAAUGUAGCUGCCUAGGUGCCAGCAUGUGUCUGUGGGGCUUGUUUUCAUGUGGUGCUGUUUCACAGGAGUCGUGUACCACCUGAAAAGUGUUAUGUGCGCUUGUUCUAGUAACGGUGUACAAAUGGAAGUUUUCGCACAGGUUUCCCAGAUUUCCCAGAUUUCCCUGCCAUUCUGUCCCCUCUAAUGCCUCCACCAGGUCCUCCUCCCACCAGUCCAUGUAUUGUAAUGUACCUCCUUCCCCUGAUUCUGAGCUUAAGUGACUAUAGAGUAGGGAGAUUAGUCUUGUUGGUGAGCUUUCCUUGAGGCACAUGAUUUCAAAAAAGAUUAGUCGUUUCACUAUCGCUAUCUUUACCUCAGUCGUCCGUGCAAAGUCUCUAAGCUGUAUAUAGUGGAAAAAGUCUUGAGUGCUCAGAGUUGCCAACGUUUUCAGGUGUUCGUACGUUACUACCUCUUUGUCAACGUAUAAGUGUAUGUAACGUUGCAAUCCAGUGGCUUCUAUGCCCUUAAAAUCUUUUGCUCUCAUGCCUGGUAGGAACGCUCUGUUCCUUAGCACUGGGGUCAUGGGUGAGGGGUUGCUGGUGAGCUUAUAUUUUUGUGCUACUCCGUCCCAUAUAUCCAUGGAGUUUAAAACUGAUGGGCAGGCGGUCCUGAGGGGCGCCCUGUGCUCUCUAGGGGUCCAUAUGUAAAACUGGGCAAUUUGGGCUAAUUGCGCUGCAAGAUAGUACAUGUAGAGGUGGGGCAUACCCAAUCCCCCUCUCCACAUAGGUCCAUAGAGGAUAGCACGGGCCACUCUGGGUUGUUUCCUCUGCCAUAUAAAGGUGUCAAUGGCCUUUCGAAUGUCUACAAGGUCCCCCUUUGUGACCCGUACUGGUACGGCUUGAAACAUGAACAGCAGCCUAGGCAUGACAUUCAUCUUAACUGUGAAAGCGCCCCAGCCAUGAGAUAGUUUUAUCUGUCCAUUUGUCCAGAUCCUUUUUAAGUGUGGCAAAUAGUGUGUAGUUGUACCUAUAAAGUGCAGCUGGGUCUGCUGUUAGUUGAACCUCCAAAUAAGUAAAUGCUUCCGUGGUAAUUUUAAUUUGAUGUGUUUGCCUAAUGAGCGUUAUGUCCUGGUCAGUUAUGUGAAUGGGCGUUGCUAUCGAUUUAGUGAGAUUCACCCUGUAGCCCGAGACCUUUCUGUAUUCAUCUAGUAAAGUUGUCAGUCUGGACAGAGCGUACCAGGUCUGUGAGUGUCAGUAACACAUCAUCAGCAUAAGCUGCCGUCCUGAAUUGCUGAUCUGCUAACUGGACACCGUGUAUGUGUGGAUCUGUUCUGAUUGAGUGUAGGAGUGGCUCCAGGGAUAUCGCGAAAAAGGAGCAGGGACAGGGGGCAUCCCUGGUGUCUCCCGUUGCGGAAUUUAAAUGGAGUUUUUGGGGAUCCCAUUAGAAUCGUCUGUGCUUGUAAGUCCGUAUACAAGGCACUGAUUGCUUUUAUGAAUGGCUUGGGGAAACACUCGAUUCUAAGAGGAACGACCACUGAACCUGAUCAAAAGCCUUUUUGGCAUCCAGGGAGAGGGUCAGGGGGGGCUUUGUUUAUUCCCCCACAUCCGGAUGGGUGAUUUUAGGCACCAGGGGUGUCAGUCUCAUUGACAGUAUUUUAGCGAAGAUUUUUAGAUCAGAGUUCAUGAGGAUAUUGGUCUGUAGUUAGAUGCUAGGGUAUUGUCUUUGUCCGGUUUAGGGUGCAGAACAAUAUUUGCUGAAGCCAUAUCCCUAUCUGUGCCUCCCUGGAGGAAAUGGUUAUAUAGCUUUGUGAGGGGGGGUGCUAGUUCCUCUCUGAAUUUUUUUUAUAGUAACCAAUAUCGUAUCCAUCGGGUCCAGGUGCUUUAUUGCCAUAGAGAGCGGAUAUCGCUGCCUCCACCUCCUCCUGGGAGAUGGGUGCUUCUAAUAUAUCAGCUUUCCCCUCUGUCACUCUGGGUAAGUCCCUACCCGCCAGAUAGGUGUUGAUGCAUGAGUGGUAUUGGGCCUGCUCCACCGUGCUUCAGGAGGAGUGGUUGUACAAUUAUUGGAAGUAUUCAGUAAAUACGAUAUUAAUUUCAGUUGGGGUGUGGACUAACUCGUUAGCUGAGUUACGGAUUUUAGUAAUAGGUUUGCUGCCCUGUCUGGGCGGAGCAAUCUUGCCAACAGCGUAUCCAUUUUGUUAGUUUUCUCGGAGUAAAAUCGCUUAGACCAAAGCAAGGAGAGUGCUACCUCUUCUAUAGAGAGGUCCUUAAUGGAGUGCCAUAUAGCUUGUAAUUCCGCUAGUUUAGAUGUUGUGGGGUUGUGUUUAUGUUGGAAUUCAGCUUUACUCAAGGCGGAUUGUAGCUCCAGCAGGAGCUUUGUUUUCACCUGCUUUUUAUGCGUUGCCACUUUUAUGAAGUGACCUCGCAGGAUUGUUUUGUGUGCUGCCCACAAUGUUGUUGGAUUUGUGUCUCCUGUCUCAUUGUUGAGGAAAUAAUCUACGAUAGUUGCCUUGGUUUUUGUAAGUAUGUCCUCGUCCCUGAGCACCUAGUGUUAAGCUUCCAGGACCAGUUGGAGCUAUUCCCAUUGUACAGCGCUACGGAAUUUGUUGGCGCUAUAUAAAUAAUAAAAUAAUAAUAAUAAUAAUACUGCAACCCUUCCAGGGCAACUGCAAUGUCUGCAUGAUCCGACCAGGUAAUGUUGUUAAUUUCCAAGUGCACGACUCUGGCCAUCCCUGUGCCAUUGAAGAGGAUGUUAUCUAUCCUGGAGUAUGUGUUGUGCGGUGCGGAAUAAUAGGUGUAGUCUUGUGUGUCAGGGUGUUUAAGUCUCCAAGCGCCUAACAGUUCCGUAUGAGUCAGAAAGCUGUGCAUUAGUUUGUCUUGCCCUCCCCUCCCCUGUGAUCUACAUGUCCCAGGUUUAGCACUUCUGUCUAUUGUUGGGCAGGGCACGACAUUAAAGUCGCCCAAAACUACAAGUAUUCCACUCUGUAGGCUGUUAUUAAAGUUUCAGCGUUUCCCAGAAGGAGGUAUCAGGGUCGUUAGAGGCAUAGACGUUAACUAAAUGAAUCUUCAUAUCGUAUAAGGUGCCUGUAGUAGCUGUAUAUCUGCCCUCUGGGUCCAUAUGGUGCUAUGAAUGGGCAGCGCUUAUGACAUUGUAUGGCUACUCCCGCCCUCUUCCGUAAAGCCCUCGCCUCAUGUGUUUCAGUAUAGACUCUGUCCCCCAGCCUGACUAGCGCCGACCUAGAAAUCUGUGUCUCCUGAAUUAAAGCAAUGUUAGCUUUUAAAUCUCGCAGGAGAAGUCUGCGUUUAUUAGAAGUGUUUAAGCCUCGAACGUUAAUGGACAACAUUUUCAGUGCCAUGUGUGUGGCAAAUGUGUUAGGCGAUCUGCAGCUUGAGUAACUAAGUGAGGUGUGGGGGAGCACCCCAUCCCAAGAUGGCCUGUCACCACCCUCCCCCCGCCCCCCAGCACCAGAGCCACAGCACCCUGCCCGAGCCGAUGAGUUAUAUCAUCACCCAUAGAGUACCAACAUCGAACAUGUACAUAAGCAAUAACAUAAACAGAACAAAAGAAAUACCAGUCUUACAGUCUGCCAGAGUGGGUUGUGAGUGCAUCCUCUCCCCUCCCCCCCCCCCUUGCGGGUUGAACAAAUGUCUCCCAGGCAGGGAUGGGCUGUCCACUAAUCCACUGUGCUACAAUGUGUAUAACUCUUAGGUGUUGCAAAGUAUGUAACCUGAGUUAGCCAGUGGGCACCUUUUGAAGUGCUAGGUUGGGUGAGGCAUAAAGCCCUCCCCGGCAUGGCCCCUUAGCUGCUCAGUAACCCGAGCUCCCCCCUGAGUGUUUCUUGCUUUGUGUCCUGUAGGGCGCCACAGAGCAAUGUUGAAGGGGUGUCUCUCUACUUUUGUGUGGAUGUGUGGUGUCCCCUGCGUAUGUUGCUACCCCACAGGGUUGUUAGCCUCUAGGACCAUCACUACGGGAGGGUAUCCUGCCUUGUUGUGAGACAAUUCUGGCCCAUUGGAAUAGACCAUGCGUAGUGUGACGGUGAAAGCGAUAUAUACUGAGGUAAUUAUGUACAGUGCGGAAAGCAAAAUAGUACCACUUUAUCAGGCCCUCCCGGGGGACUCGUGGAGUGUGUAUACCCCCCCUCUUCUAAAUGCCGGGGUUGUGUGAGGUAUCCCUGCGUGGAUGUGGGUAUAUUACUGCAGUUCAUUUAACUGUCCCGAAAGCCUAUGUUUCGUGAUGGAUCGGGGUCAUACCGGGGGAACAUAAACGUCAUGCUUGACAGAGAACUUAUGCGCAAAGUGUUAUUAAACCAAACGGAAGGUCAAUAUGAAUCUGAGUGGUUCAGGAGGCCCACUGACAGUAGCUAUUACUCCCCUUACUGCUAAGGGGUGGUGUUCAUCAUUACCCUCCCCAUUCAUCUCCCCACCUGCAGCCGCAUUGCCAUCCCCAGUUCCCUUAAUGGGUACUUAGCUGUGAGCCCAUCUGCCCUUGCAACCGUUCUUGGGCCUAGUCAAAUCGAGUCCUGGGUAGCGUCUUUCAGGUUUGGCGGCCCUCUGAUUCCGCCAUGUCAAUCCAUUCCUGAGCGAGGGUGGUAAGCACGGGCCUGGUGGACUUCGACAGUGAAAAGGUCGGUGGGGGUUCAAUGCCCAGGUUCCGGAGAAACUUUACAGGAUCGGCAGUGUGUGAAUAUGUCCCUCUCUGAAGGCGACCAGCUUACACGGGUGACUCCAUGUAUACCGGAUCUCUUGCCUGAGCGACAAAUCCACAACCGGUCUCCACUCCUCCUUUACAGGUUUGUUGGGUUAAGGUCCUGAUAGAGGGAUAUUGUGGAUGAGUUCAUGUUCUCUUCUGUAUUUCAUCACAGCCUCUUUUAUAGAAUAGAAGUGGAAAUGGAGAAUAAUGUCUCUCGGCACCGUCCCUUCUGCCCUGUGGGUAGAUCACAAAAGUUCUUAUAGAUUCCCAUAACAGUCCCUCUUUGUUGUCCUUGACUAUGGCAAUGUCUUAUCUGGUUACAUAGCUAGUUCUGAAAAGCUUGCUAAUUGUAGUCCCAUGGAAGAUCCUAUAAUGAAGUUCCCUUCAGAGCCAUCCCUAAAAUCAGUUGAUUUUCUAAUUGGUGGUUGCUACAUUUUUUUAAAUCUUCCAAUCAAGUUUUAAGCAAGCUUCUCCCUAAAUUGAAGUGCUACUGUAGUUACAUUCAAUACCUUUAUUCAUCCAUGCAUUUAUAUACAGGUGUAUAUUAAUAUACAUGUUAUUAGUAACUCUGGAUUGCCCCUAAAAUCACAGGAGGACUUGGUGAGGCCUGGUGUAGGUGCUUAAUGGGAGAGGUGGCCGCUCUCCCAGCUUGUCGGAUACUGGACUACCGUUGAAUCCUACUACAGCCCCGUCUCCACCCCUCUGAACCGAAGAGGGUGAUCCCAGUUCAAACCCCAAAGGCUACACAACUAUGCUAUAACCAAGCAACACUUACCAGCAGUAUUGACCCUACCACUACAAUGGCAGUCGCCCCAUGCACGCCUGAUUCAUGCGGUGGGAGAUGGGAUGUGAAGAGCAGGCUGACAGAGCUAUUCAACACCUUCUUUGCAAAGCUGACCGCUCGCAUGUAGACCAUGGCUCCUGAUCUCAAGCCAGAUCUUCUGUCUCACAGUCCUGCACAUCCAGACAGGCCAGGAGAAGAGGAGCCCGCUCCUGAUCAGCGUCCAGAGAGUCACAUCUUGGUGUUUACCAAGAACAACCCCUCUGGAUACGGCGGUACCCUGAUGCUGCUCUUGCAUUCCUACUGGAUGGACGGAACGGCUCGGGUGCAGCUGUCUUAUGGCUCAUGUGUCUAAGCCAUGCUGUCAUACCUGAUGGGGCAGUUUCUGGUGCGGGACUCUGCCUGGACUCUACCAGGGCAUAGGCUGAGCUGACUCCCUUUCCCUCCUCUGCCUCGUUACUAGUGAUUGGGGACUGGCUUUGUUUUAUGGCUACAUUUACCUUUUGCAUUUUUACAGAAUAUAUUGCAGUUUACUCAUAUUUGACUUAAUUACUCUGUAAUUCCUGUAAUUUUAAAAAAUAGUGCUCAAUCUCAGACAUGUCUUGUAACCUCUUGCUCCUACUCUCUUAAGCUGAUUAUUAUUAUUAUUAUUUUAUUAUUUAUAUAGCGCCAACAAAUUCCAUAGCACUGUACAAUGGGUGGACUAACAGACACAUAAUUGAGAUCAGACCACUGACGUACAGGAACAGAGGGGGUUGAGGACCCUGCUCGAUGAGAUUACAUGCUAGAGGGAGUGGGGUAUAGUGACACAAAAGGUUAAAUCACUGCAUUGUCUCUGUCUUUACUUUUUUAUUUUUGUAUAUAUACUUGUAUAUAUUUUACUAUACGUUUCAGCUGUUUUCUAAACCACUGCCACAAAUACAAAAUUAAUUACAAAAAGCAGUACAAAACAUGGAACAAUAUUUAAUGAAAAAUACAAUACACAUUCUACCAUUAAUUGGCACCGACUAUUUACUAAGUUAUAUCAGAACACAUAUGUAUUUGUGUGUAUAUAUAUAUAUAUAUAUAUUACAUUUUUUUAUUAUUAUUCAAACAGGUAUUCUGAGCAUUCUUGCUACCCAAGUUGUCAAUCCAAGUAAUGGGCAAAGUGAUGAAGACUCACAAAGGCAUACCAAUCUGAUACAGUUGAAAAGUUGAUAAAUGUGUUAUAAUCACACCCAAGAG